GAUGAACGCUGGCGGCGUGCCUAAUACAUGCAAGUCGAGCGAACAGACGAGGAGCUUGCUCCUCUGACGUUAGCGGCGGACGGGUGAGUAACACGUGGAUAACCUACCUAUAAGACUGGGAUAACUUCGGGAAACCGGAGCUAAUACCGGAUAAUAUAUUGAACCGCAUGGUUCAAUAGUGAAAGACGGUUUUGCUGUCACUUAUAGAUGGAUCCGCGCCGCAUUAGCUAGUUGGUAAGGUAACGGCUUACCAAGGCAACGAUGCGUAGCCGACCUGAGAGGGUGAUCGGCCCCACUGGAACUGAGACACGGUCCAGACUCCUACGGGAGGCAGCAGUAGGGAAUCUUCCGCAAUGGGCGAAAGCCUGACGGAGCAACGCCGCGUGAGUGAUGAAGGUCUUCGGAUCGUAAAACUCUGUUAUUAGGGAAGAACAAAUGUGUAAGUAACUAUGCACGUCUUGACGGUACCUAAUCAGAAAGCCACGGCUAACCACGUG
rnacentral:rRNA from 1 species